rnacentral:rRNA from 1 species
GCAGUCGAGCGAGCGGAACCACAGAUUUACUUCGGUAAUGACGUUGGGAAAGCGAGCGGCGGAUGGGUGAGUAACACGUGGGGAACCUGCCCCUAAGUCUGGGAUACCAUUUGGAAACAGGUGCUAAUACCGGAUAAUAAAGCAGAUCGCAUGAUCAGCUUUUGAAAGGCGGCGUAAGCUGUCGCUAAGGGAUGGCCCCGCGGUGCAUUAGCUAGUUGGUAAGGUAACGGCUUACCAAGGCGACGAUGCAUAGCCGAGUUGAGAGACUGAUCGGCCACAUUGGGACUGAGACACGGCCCAAACUCCUACGGGAGGCAGCAGUAGGGAAUCUUCCACAAUGGACGCAAGUCUGAUGGAGCAACGCCGCGUGAGUGAAGAAGGUUUUCGGAUCGUAAAGCUCUGUUGUUGGUGAAGAAGGAUAGAGGUAGUAACUGGCCUUUAUUUGACGGUAAUCAACCAGAAAGUCACGGCUAACUACGUGCCAGCAGCCGCGGUAAUACGUAGGUGGCAAGCGUCGUCCGGAUUUAUUGGGCGUAAAGCGAGCGCAGGCGGAAAAAUAAGUCUAAUGUGAAAGCCCUCGGCUUAACCGAGGAACUGCAUCGGAAACUGUUUUUCUUGAGUGCAGAAGAGGAGAGUGGAACUCCAUGUGUAGCGGUGGAAUGCGUAGAUAUAUGGAAGAACACCAGUGGCGAAGGCGGCUCUCUGGUCUGCAACUGACGCUGAGGCUCGAAAGCAUGGGUAGCGAACAGGAUUAGAUACCCUGGUAGUCCAUGCCGUAAACGAUGAGUGCUA